AGGGAUAAUGGAUACAUAGUUUUCAACUGUAAAAAUGACGAGCAAUUUGUUGAUAUUUAUUCCUCAAAUAUUGCGCACCGAGCAAUCGGGCUAUGUGGUUGGUAAAGUGGUACACGACACCUGCAGUGACCUAAAAAAGUUCUACAUCGUCGGUCUGCGUAGGGUGGCCUCGGAGUUAGCCAACAGGUCCACGUUAGGCGUAAUCGGAUAUUAUUCCAACGGGAACGAGGAGGCGCCUUUGGAGCGCAAGCAUCCGAAUUGGGUGCACAUCGCAACGAGGCCGUCUGCGGGCGACGAGUACCGUCUGACGAGUGUCGUUCUCAACAACAAGAGAAUGGACCUGUCGGCGACGCGCACGACGCUUAUUCUGUACGAUCGACGUGCGUUACAGAAGACGGAACUGUUCGAGAGGUCGGCAACGUCGAGCGAUCAUUUCCACGAGCUCGCGAGGCUCAUCCAGAGUAAAGAAGAUGAGCUGAGGAUCAAGUCGACGAGUCUGCUGACCUAUCACAUAUCCUUCUAUUUGUUGCAUCCCAUUCUGUUGCUGUCUAAGAUAAUGGAGGGAUUGCUACCAAUCUUGAAGUACUCCUCCCUCGGCCUACACGUUUACGACUGGCUGGAGAAUGUCAAGUGGAUGCUGGCGACGGUUGUGCGGGACGGGAGCUUCAAACUGAAAACGGGAAACCAUGCACUAGCUAUUGUGAUAGACGUGGCGCUGGGAAUCUUCGUGCUGCGACUACUGCGAUAUUACAUCGAGGAUCAGCCGUCGCAGUUUCUUCUAAAUAAUGCAGAGAAAGUCGUAGAGACUCUAAGGGACCUGAUUAAUUGGUUGAUGGGCGUACCAGCUGGCCUCAAGCUUAAUCAUGCCCUUAACAACACUAUGGGAAAGUUCUUCCUAUAUCACAUACAACUUUGGUGGACAUUUCUGAUAUUUUCCAAGCCGCUUCUGGAUUUGGCGUUCGAAGUGUUGCUCCUAUUUGGAAGGCUGGGUAUCACGUUUCAAAUAUCCAUUGUCGCGGACCUUCUGGGUCUUGUCAGCUUCCACACGUACUGUAUUUACGUUUAUGCAGCAAGGCUUUUUAAUAUUCAGCUGAGAGGAAUCACGGCUCUCUUCAGGCUCUUCCUCGGGAAGAAGAAGAAUCCUCUGCGCGAGAGAGUGGACUCGUGUCAAUAUCAAACAGAUCAGUUAUUCGUCGGGACGCUGUCGUUCACCAUUCUUCUAUUCCUGAUGCCUACCACCUAUGGUUUAAUUACAGCUCAGAUUAGCAUCAAUCGCAUUCGCCGGUUUUCUGACUAGGCUGAAGUUUUAUCUGCAAGUUAUUCCCGUUUACACCUUUUGGAAGUGGUUGCUACGAUCUUAUAGCACUCGUAGCAUUGUUGACAUCAGAUUGCAUCCUUAUUAUACCAAAGAACUUACAGUGCUGUCGAUGACCAUGGUUGUGGCUCCCUGGAAGCUCACAUGGAAAAAGUGCAUUCCAGACACAAUCGAUUGCUAUCCAGCCAUUGAGUG
rnacentral:misc_RNA from 1 species